AUUCAUCAUCUGAGUUUAGCAGCCACAGUUAUUGUAUCUAGUUUGGAAUUUCAGUUCUUUAAUUCACUACUUAUCUUGGUACUGAAUAUUGUGCCCACUAGGAGUCAUGUGUUUGUUUCUUCACUGGAAGCCAUGAUAGCUUCUUCCGGCGAUCUUAGUACAAAGCGAUUUCAAAAUAAUGUUUAGCCUGGAAAGUGUUCUUCCCUGCCUGACAUAGGAGAGAGCUGGAGUGGCUGCCAUAUACUUCAGCUUGCCGGGUGUAGUCCUAUUCUACGCUUCUUGUCUCAAGAUAUUUACUUAAAGUAGAGUUACAUCCUUCUUCAUCUAUCCUGGGCCAUGAGUGAGAAGUGUAUGCUGAGCACAGCAGAGCAGCAAGAUAGGAAAGCCAGAAUCCCUCUUGAUUUGAUGAAGAUCCUGUGUAAGUUUCUGACUGCCUGCUUCCAAAUCCUUUUAUGUGUAAGAAAAAUUAGCUUUUAUCUUA